GGUGCUUUCCAAUUGAGAUAUCCCUAGACACUUUUAUGCACACGGCGACACAAGUCGCGUUCCAAUUGCCGUAACUGCCGACACAACUUUACACAUCCGUACUCAGCUCGAGGGCUACUAGUCAACUUGUGUAACCUUCUGUUUUCUAGGGACAAAUGAAAUAUGCGGUUACAGACUGACGGCGAUUAUGUUGGCAAUUUUCUUUUCGUUUUAUCCUUUUUAAUUAAAAGACAACCAUUAAAGUACACCAUACAAAUACAAAAAUGGACAAUAAAAAUAUUAAAAGUAUCAUUGAAACUAAUUACACAAAUUUUACGUGUGCAACAUGUUUUUCCCUUUUACCAAAUGGAGAAGAAUUGUAUGAACAUAUUUGCUUUAAGGAAAAAACUAUUUAUUCGAAUGAGGGCGUUAUUUAUUGUUUGAGUGAUGAUCAAGAAACUUUCAUCGAAUUUGAUGCCUGUCUACACGCAAUGGUCAAUCCAUUUUAUAUAUCGAUGCUAUCACCCUCAGCAUGGAUUAAAAAAUAUCAAGAUGGACAUGGUUAUGAAGAAUCCUAACCCUCCACUCGAAAGUCGCACAUUAACUUUGUUCCAAUUGAGUCGUGCACAUCGCUACACUUUGUGCCUUCCUGUGUAUGUUUGUGUUAAGAUGUGUUAAACAAUUGGAAAGCACCCAUUGUGUAUUAUCGUAUGAGUGGGCUCGAGAACGAGACAGACCGUGAAGGACGAGACCGAGGAUCAUCCCCGCAGCCGGGAGAAGCCUUCAUCGAUAUAAAUGGUCUGCACGCAGAGAGAGGAAGAAUGGAGAGCAGACGAGGAAGAAGUUCGAGAAGAGGAAGCAGAUUUUUUAGAAGAGGAGGAGUAGGAAGAGGAAGAGGC